UGCACCAUUAUGCUGUAUGAAAU
rnacentral:miRNA from 1 species